rnacentral:lncRNA from 9 species
ACUUUCGCGGGGAGUUGAAAUCAGCUGGGGUGCCUAGUCUUUUUUGCGCGUUUUCUGGUUGUGGAGGGUGAUGUAGUGCGGGCGGUAGGUAGGGUAAAUAAAGGACAAGGACUGUCAGGAUGUUCUUCUGCUUUAGUCCCUUCCCCAAUCUCCCACUUUCAAACUGGUCUUCUGAGAUUCCCGCUUCCGGAUCUGCUUUUCUCCGAACUUCUCUGGACUGAGACCUGGCUGUCCCGUAAGGAUGCUGCAUCCUCUCACAUGGCUUCCAGCCACAGCUUGUGGAAGUUCCUGGCCUGAGAGUGAAUCCUAGCUGCAGCUGUGACAACAGCGGAUCCUUUAACCCACUGUGCUGGACCAGGAAUCGAUCCUGCAUCUCUGCAGUGAACCAAGCUGCCACAGUCAGGUUCUCAACCCACUGUGUCACAGUGGGAACUCCACCUUGUUCGUACUUUAAAUCAGAUUGUUGGUAUUUAGUGUACAUGUCUUGAGUUAUACGUCAGCUUUCAUCAACCCUAGGGAGCUGCCAGCACCUGGGUAUUGAGGCCCCAAACUGAACUUUGAGAUUCUUUAAAGUAUUGAGGCCUCCUAGAAGUGGGUAGCCAGCCUUCCUCUGCAGGAAGCAGCUCUCUUGCCAUAUUCUGUUUCAAUCUACUCUCAUUGCAAAAGUCCUUUUCAAUCCUGUAACUCUUGGCUCUGCUGACAUUUUGAUGAACUGGACUCUAUUGUUCUUUCUCUCACCUGGGAAGAGAAGAGGUCAGACCUCUAAGGCAAAUAAAAAGGCCAAUCCCAAAGUGACUCAUCUUUGAAAACACUGGGUCAUUCCACACUUUUUCACACUUAAUUGAAAGCUGUCUUUGCAAAGCUUCACCAAGAGAUUUCCGCAGUGGCCUCAGCAUUUAGUAGCCCCAUAGACUGCCAGAGCAAAAGGGAACGGGAGGCAGUUUAAACCAUCUGUUCUAGAACAAGACAUCUGGUCUCGGGUCUGUGCCUUUGGUUGGGGCUCUUUGGGAACCAUCUGCCUCCCCAUCUGACAGAGCUGUUAUAAGCCAGGCACUGUCAAGUGUUAGGGAGACUAAGAGGAGAGGGUGCCCAAGCUGAAGUCAUCCUGGUAGUGAGCUUGGUUGUCUGGGAGAAUUGUGGGGCUAACCAGUUCCUGUAAACAUGUCUAUAGACACCCACACAUGCCCAGGGGCUUUAAACCAUCAAAAGUCUUUUAUUUCCAAGUGCCAACACUGGAUGUUGAGUUCUUGAGGAUAGUAAUAUACAUUUUCUAUUGCCAAGGUUGGCCAAGACUCUUGCCCUUUCUGUGUUAAAAGAAAAAAAAAAAAAUUGAGAUAAGUAUAGAGAUGUUAUGGAGGAUACCAGGCAAGGAUUUUGGAAACAUGAGCUAAGAAGAUACAAGGUAUAUUGGAGGAACUUUAGUGGGAAAGAAGUUUCCCAAAUAAAGGGUGAGGAGCACUUGCUUUUAUGAGAUUUGAGGUGUUUGGGCCCCAGGCUCAUCAUGCUUUUAUUGCUGCCACACAGCAUACACACCAAGCUAUGUUAAUGCUAGUUUAUCCUUGAGUCUUAGCUAAAGGAAACCUAGUUUAAUGGAAGUUCCUGAUAGUUUAUUAAGGUGAAAUAUAUUCAGUGCCAGAGAGGUUGAGAAGGUUAUCUGUUCUUCAGGCCUUUAUUUGCUACUUUAUGGCAAGAACACAAACUGGAUCCUUUGACUGACUGACACCAGCCCUACAAACCAGGUUCUUACCUCUGCUGUAAUUUCAGGGAAUAAGAGAUAGCCUCACUGGGGAAUCUGUUUCAGAAACUUCAUCUUAAAAAACAGAGCUGGGAGUUCCCUGGUGGCUCAGCCGAUUAAUGACCCGGUAUUGUUGCUGCUAUGGCUUGGGUUUGAUCCCUGGCCGGGAACUUCCACAUGCUUCAGGAGAAGCUUAAAAAACAAAACAAAACAAACUGCGCUGAUUUUUUUUUUUUUUUUUUUAGGGCCCCACCUGCGGCAUAGGGAAGUUCCCAGGCUAGGGGUUGAAUUUGAGCUACAGCUGCUGGCUUAUACCACAGCCACAUGUAGUGUGGGAUCCGAGCUACGUUGGUGACCUCUACCACAGCUCACAGCUACGCUGGAUCCCUGACCCACUGAACAAGGCCGAGGAUUGAACCCACAUCCUCAUGGAUGCCAGUUGGAUUCGUUUCCGCUGAUCCAUGACGGGAACUCCAGAAGUUUGACUUUUUUUUUGGCUUUUUAGGUCUGCACCUGUGGCAUAUGGAGGUUCCCAGGCUAGGGGUCAAAUUGGAGCUGUAGCUGCAGGCUUACGCCACAGCCACAGCCAUAGCAACUCAGGAUCCGAGCCGUGUAUGCAACCUACACCACAGCUCAUGGCAAUGCUGGAUCCUUAACCCAAUGAGCAAGGCCAGGGAUUGAAGCUGCGUCCUCAUGGAUGCUAGUCAGAUUCGUUAACCACUGAGCCAUGACAGGAACUCUGAAAGUUUGAUUUUAUAAUGCUUAAAACUACACUGAGACUAUGCUGGAAGAGAAUACAGAGCUAACUGGUUUAAUAAUAACACUCUCCUGACCAAUUCCCUUUCAUGCUUCCCCCAACCUCUGCAAAAAAUAGGGCAAAAUACUUAGCUUAACACUGUGGUCAUCGAGCAACCAGUCAUUUCCAAAUAUGGACAGUUGAACCCUCCAGUUUCACUUCUGGAAUUCAAGAGCCAGGAGAAUGGCAUUUACGUUUGUGUACAUUUUCUACAACUCUUUUCCUCUCAUUCCCCAACUCGAUGAAGCCUCUGUGUUGUUUGCUUUAAUAUUAAUUAUGGCAUCUUCAAUGAGUGAAUUGUUACUAGAAAAAAAAUAAGUUACAGUCUUUAAGAAGAAUGCAGUUAAUACAUUUCUACUGGCAUAGGAAGUUGUCAGUGGUAGAAUUUAAAGAGAAACUAGCAAGUUACAGAAAAGUAUGUUAAAUAAAAUCAUUUUGAAAAAGAAAAAUGAUUUAAUGUUUUAAAAAAGCAAUUUCCCCUCUUUUUAAAAUAUUUAAUUAAUUUUUUUUUUCUUUUUUAGGGCUGUACCUGUGCUAUAUGGACGCUCCCAGGCUAGGGGUCGAAUUGGAGCCACAGCUGCUGGUCUACACCACAGCCACAGCAACACAUAGCUUGCAGUAAUACCAGAUCCUUAACCCACUGAUGGAGGCCAGGGAUUGAACUCAUAUCUUCAUGGAUCCUAGUUGGGUUCUUAACCCGCUGAACCACAAGAACUCCAAAUUCGAUGACUUUUACUAUAUUUAUAGUUGUACAACCAUCAUCACAACCUAAUUUUAGAACAUUUCCAUCAAUUUCCCAUCUUAACAAUAAAGAUAGUUAUGAUACAUGUCCUGACAUUAGACUCAAGUUUAAUUUUUGCCUUCUUUGGUAAUUACAGAAAAUUAUGUAUUAAGGAAAAUUCUACAGUGCUUAUUAGCUGUUAGUUGUAAGUUAUUGUUCACUAAGCACUUCUCUUACAUUAUCAUUUAAUCCCCAUUUUACCAGUGAGAAAACUAAUGCUUAUAGGAGUUAAGCAACUAGCCCAAGGUUAAGUUGUAUGUUAUAUGUAGCAGAGCCGGGAUUUGAAGCCAGGGUUGUCUGACUAAUUCAUGCUGCUAACCACCAUGCUAUAUUCCUCUCAUCAAUGUAAGGAUUUGACUUGUAACCAUUUGAGUUUUAUAAUGGUAGACCACAGAGAAUCGAUAUGGUCACAUGUUAACAUUGUAAUUUGGCUUAAAGAAAGAAGCUAAAGAAACUCUUAAUUCAGAGUGUAAUGUCCAGGACACUGGACCUGAAGCUGACCUGCACCUUGCAUUUGCAGAGUAACAGCUAAAAGAACUACAACACAGGACUCUAGCUAAAGAUUAGGAACAACAGAAACAGACUCACAGUGGAUUAAAGAAAACACAUUAAAUUAAAAAAAAAAAAAAGAUUAGGAACAGCCUAAAUGUCCUUCAGGAGGGAACUAGUUAAGUAACAUGGUACUUAAGCUAUCAAAAACCCAAAAGAGGAAAGAAAAGAAAAA